ensembl:lncRNA
CCUGAACAAACAUGCCGGGGAAGCGGGUCAGCUUGGAAAGUGUGAACGAGAUAACUGCAGCCAUGUUCCCCCAUAGCUGGAUAAACACUCCCCGCGAGGCUGACUGUUUUCUCAGACUGUCAGGUCCUAUUCUCUUGUUUCGCUGGAAAGUCAAGUGAGGAGAAAGGGGGCAACCAGGCAUAUUGGUGUACGCCUGAGUCAGGAGGAUCAGAAGUUCAAGGUCAUUCCUACCUACAUAACAAGUUCAAGGGGUUUCCUGUGUCUUAACAUCCUUGAGAUGGUAUCAGCUGUCAACUUUCCAGUCAGCUUACCUGAACUUUAUCAGCCCUUAGCUCCGUGCUCCCUCUCCUCUUUUGGAGGAAUGAGAAGGGGAAGGGGCAGUCUGAAGGGGAAGAAAAACAAACCACGCCAAGAAGACCAGGCCCAAGAACUUAUCAAACACACCAGGACCAAGGAAGGGGAUAGCUGCCUCACCUGACCCCAUAAAGGUGACAUCUACCAAAUGGAUGUGGCUGCACAUGCCUCUAAUUCCAGCACUCGGGAGACAGAGGCAGGCAUAUGUGAGUUGGAAGCCAACCUGGUCUACAGGACAGCCAGGGCUACAUAGUGAGAUGCUGUCUCAAAAGAAAGGGGGUUGAGAAAAAGAAAAAGAAGGAAGAUGACAUCAACCUCUGAGAUGGAACGGCCCCACCAACCUGUCAUCUGACCACCUGGAGGUAUGCUAAGUGACUGACAGGCAAGAGCUGACUUAUCUCAGUUCUUUCCCUAUGGAUCACUUGGCUGACUUGAGUUUCCAUUCUUUCUUCUGCCUCUUUGUCUAGACUGGGUUCUGUACUCUACCUCUGCAAACUCCAUGGUAUUCCCCCCGCCCUCUAGCUUCCAAAAUUCAGCCUCAAGACUGGGUUCAAACCUGGGGCUCUGCAGCAGCACCCACAGGAGAUGUCCUCUCUUUCUUUCCGGCUGAUUUUCAGCAAGGUGCAUUAUCUCCUGCCAAUUCUCUUCGCAUCUCUUUUAUCAGUCUGCCUGCCUCCAGGACUUGAGGUGGGCCUCUCUGAACUUGAACUCUGCUGCAGCCUCACACGCUUAUAUAGACAUAUUGACGGUGUGAUAUGUAAUGUGCAAUCUGAGAGUUAAUAUUUGUAAUUAAGAUCAUAAUAAAAUAACUUAUGUUUGCUAGUAGGAAACUAUCAAGGGAAAUGGGGACUACUUAAGUCG